UCGGAGAAGAAGCAAAAGGUGUUCUUGGAGGCUUCAAUGGCCCGGUUUCUUUAUGGGCUUUGUGUUCUAAUUCUUGCUUGGCCGCAUCAUCACUAUCCACCACACUUCCUUGACCCUGCGAUUUUCAAUCAUAUCAGCAUAUCAGUCCAGCUUCGACUUCUCCGGAAUGAAUAUCAGGGUCAGCGGUGCGACCGGCCGAUCGGGGGGAUGAAAGUCCUAUGCGGAGAGCUUGGUUAUGGGCUAGAGAGAGAACCCAUCGUUGCAUUUUGGCCGCUACCCUCGAUUGCAUUUUGGCUUUCCUGUUCUGUUAAUAAUCCACCAAAUUCGUUGGGUUUUUUGAUGGCUGCCUAAUUGGAACAGAGACGAAACAGAGGAACAAGAAAAGCUCUAAGGGGAGAGAGAAAAGAAAAUGAAUAAAGAUUAAUUAGGUACUUUCUGGAGGAGAGACACGUGUACGGUAAAGGUAUUGACGUGGAAGGACUUUAUAGUGCUUUGGCGUACUUUGUGUGUCACCAUGUGAUGGUUCUUAUCUAUGGGGUUGGUGGUGGAAAUGAUAUGCAACUAGAAGCAUGGAGAUUCUUGUUCUAGCGAAAUCCCAAGUCUUGUAGAAGCAUGGAGAAGUUGCUUAGUGGGUGCCCAUUAAGGAUCUUUGUUUAUUUUUA